rnacentral:lncRNA from 1 species
CUUUAACAGUAGCUGAGGUGAGAUAGAGCCUUUAACAGUAGCUGAGGUGAGAUAGAGCCUUUAACAGUAGCUGAGGUGAGAUAGAGCCUUUAACAAAGCUGAAGUGAGAUGGAGCCUAUAACAGUAGCUGAGGUGAGAUAGAGCCUUUAACAGUAGCUGAGGUGAGAUAGAGCCUUUAACAGUAGCUGAGGUGAGAUAGAGCCUUUAACAGUAGCCGAGGUGAGAUAGAGCCUAUAACAGUAGCUGAGGUGAGAUAGAGCCUUUAACAGUAACUGAGGUGAGAUAGAGCCUUUUAUUGUAGCUGAGUUGAGAUAGAGCCUUUAACAGUAGCUGAGGUGAGAUAGAGCCUUUAACAGUAGCUGAGGUGAGAUAGAGCCAAUAACAGUAGCUGAGGUGGGAUAGAGCCUUUGAAGUAGCUCAGGUGAGAUAGAGCCUUUAACAGUAGCUGAGUUGAGAUAGAGCCUUUAACAGUAGCUGAGGUGAGAUAGAGCCUUUAACAGUAGCCGAGGUGAGAUAGAGCCUAUAAUAGUAGCUGAGGUGAGAUAGAGCCUUUAACAGUAGCUGAGGUGAGAUAGAGCCUUUAACAGUAGCCGAUGUGAGAUAGAGCCUAUAACAGUUGCUGAGGUGAUAUAGCCUUUAACAGUAACUGAGGUGAGAUAUAGCCUUUGACAGUAGCUGAGGUGAGAUAGAGCCUUUAACAGUAGCCGAGGUGAGAUAGAGCCUAUAACAGUAGCUGAGGUGAGAUAGAGCCUUUAACAGUAGCUGAGGUGAGAUAGAGCCUUUAACAUUAGCCGAGGUGAGAUAGAGCCUAUAACAGUUGCUGAGGUGAGGUAUUGUCUAAAAGCUGAGGUGAGGUAUUGCCUUUCACAGUAACUGAAGUGAGAUAUGCCCUUGAAGAGUAGCU